rnacentral:lncRNA from 1 species
UCUCACAAAAACCAAAAAGAAGAGAGUAAACUACCUAAGCUCAAAAGUAGCUUCCCGCUAACUAGCUACGCGACUCCCUUGCCGUGAUCCCGUGCCUCCGCCGGUGCCGAAGGCUCUGAAAUAAAACCAUAAAAUAGGGGGCAUGAGAACUAUUGAAUAAUAGUUCCCAGUGGGCAAUUACUGGCUUCAGUGAAAUGCACCACUAGGCCCAAACUAAAAAGGGGUCAGUAAGCAGAUGUAAACAAAUACGAUAUGUACGACAAGUAAAUAA